GGUAGGCUAUACUUCAAAAAGGCCCGACCGACACACAAAUUAAAUGAGAAGAAUCAGCAUCCAUAAGAGAUCUGCUCUUCAGUUUUUUCUGAGUGAGAAAACAUAACGCAGCGUGAGGAGGUUACUGCAGGAAGUCAAAAGUGUAUCUGAGUUUUCAAUCUUCAGUCCCUGUAGAGGUCACUGUUGCUUGGCACAGCUGAAAAACAACUGAAGCUCCAAAGGAAGGAAAUGAUUACAGGCUGUAAUUAAGGGUGCGGCUUUGUUACAGCUCUAAAACCAGAGAUAUUAAUUUGCUCUCUACUCCACAUUUGUUUGUGCCAUUUAAUUCUGAAAUCCACACACACUCGGUGCGGAAAACAUGUCUGAAUCAACUCUAAAUCAUAUUUAUCGCUAGGAACACACGUCCAGAUGGCAGACUCUUAACUGAGCUUGGAUUAAUGGGAGGACGGGCAAGAACUGCAUCAAACUCCUCUUAAGGACCUUUGAAGAACAACAUUGCUAAUCGCUCAUAAGGACGCUGUAGAACAUGUUUGUUGGGUAAAAAUAAACAAAUUAUACUUUGUUUGGAAACACAUUUCCAGCUUCAGCUGGCAUUUCUGAUAGAUAUCCAUAGACUAAUAUGUAUGUGUGUGCGUCUACGGUGAAAUGCAGAUGGUCUGGCACACAUAAGCCCUUAGUUAGGAUUCUGUUUAAGUGUUAAAAUCAAUUCCAGGCAAAUAACGUGGAAACCUUUGUGUAAGCACUUUUUACACUCUUAAUUCUCCCUUGUUAAAUUAGCUUCGGUGUUGGAAUGAUGGGACAGCAGAUGAAGUAGAAACCUAUGCAUGCUGAUACCGAAGUGUCGAAAGUUUUGCAACUUCUGUAGUUGAAAAUUUACCGUAGUCUCUUU